rnacentral:rRNA from 1 species
AUUGAACGCUGGCGGCAGGCCUAACACAUGCAAGUCGAGCGGAUGAAGGGAGCUUGCUCCUGGAUUCAGCGGCGGACGGGUGAGUAAUGCCUAGGAAUCUGCCUGGUAGUGGGGGAUAACGUCCGGAAACGGGCGCUAAUACCGCAUACGUCCUGAGGGAGAAAGUGGGGGAUCUUCGGACCUCACGCUAUCAGAUGAGCCUAGGUCGGAUUAGCUAGUUGGUGGGGUAAAGGCCUACCAAGGCGACGAUCCGUAACUGGUCUGAGAGGAUGAUCAGUCACACCGGAACUGAGACACGGUCCAGACUCCUACGGGAGGCAGCAGUGGGGAAUAUUGGACAAUGGGCGAAAGCCUGAUCCAGCCAUGCCGCGUGUGUGAAGAAGGUCUUCGGAUUGUAAAGCACUUUAAGUUGGGAGGAAGGGCGGUAAGUUAAUACCUUGCUGUUUUGACGUUACCAACAGAAUAAGCACCGGCUAACUUCGUG